GUUUACCCAUAGACGUAUCAAAAGAGACCUGAUUGUUUACAUUUGAAAGUGAGGCCAACAUUCACUAGUCCACUAUUUGUACUGGCCGACUGUAAUCUGGUCUAUUUCACUGGGGGAAAGCACUGUUGCCAGAUUUAUCAUUUGGGCUGAUGUUUCGGUUCAAAACUUCGUCCGCAGUUCAUGUCUAUGCGUUCUUCAACUUACUCCGAGUAAGCUAUGAUUACUCAAAAGCGUUCACAAACGUACUAUUCCUUCCUCUGAGUAUGCUCUUCGAGUAUCACGGCUUACUCGGAGUAAAUUUAAGAACGCAACCCUUGAAUGAUUCGGCGUCUGGGGAAGUGCGGCAACACUGUGCUUAUUAAAUGACGGCAAAUUGUCAAGAUGGCAGGUUUCUUUCACGUGGUCUGUCACAUUCGUUGCAUCGUUGUCAGGUCGAAUCCUGAGAUAUUUAAGGAGAUUUAAGGAAAUAAAUUUGUGUGCUCUAAUAUUUAUUUCGUGAUUUGAGCGUUUUAGGCUGAAUUUAGUUGAAUAUAUAUUUAAAUAUGAUUCGUCAGUGUGAAAUUUGUAAGAAAAGUAAGAUUUCCCAUCCGGAUUUAUCUUUUCAUAAAUUUCCAUCUGAUACCGAAAAGAGAGGAAUUUGGGCUUCGCUCCUUGGAUUUGAAAGCGUUAAUUUCACUAAGAAGUUAGUAUUUAUUUGUUCGAACCAUUUCAAUCCAGACGAUAUUGAAAUAAGGCCAAAUGGAAAAUUCCUCAAGCCAGAUGUUGUCCCAUUACCUUAUCAUACAACAUUCGAGAUUUCAAAUGAAAGUUCAGACACAGUAUCCGAACAAGUAUCCGAACAAGAAGAUAGUCGUAUCAGCCCAACUACAGAGACAAUGUUGUUUGGAGUGGCAAGUAACCAGUUUGAUGUUGAAGCUCUGUCUAAAAGCUCAUCAUCAUCUUCAGCAACUCUUACUGCUUCAUCUUCAGUUACUCUUACAGCCUCAGAGUGUGAAAACGAACUUUCUAAGACAAUUUUUGUUGAACCAUCAUCCCAAAAUGUUCCAAAAAAAAAAGAAAGAGGAGCUAUUUUGGCGAUUUGUCAAGCAGUGAUUUCUCGACACCAGAGAAGCGAAGGAAAAGUUUUCACGGUAUAAAGAAAAUUGUCAGAAAACAAAAAGUGAGAAUACAUUCUCUUUAAAAUAAGGUCCGUCGUCAAAGGCUUCGAAUAACAUCAUUGAAAAGUUUGGUGUCAUUUUUGAAUGAAAAGUUUCUUUUAUCAGAGGAAUCAGAACACACAUUAUUGGCAUCAAUCCCCAAAACAGCUUGAGAUUUGUUUAAGAGAAUGUUGCGAGGCCCCACAAGGCAAAAAUAUGAACCAAGCUUGUGAUCAUUUGCAUUGACUUUGGCAUUUUAUUCACCGAAGGCAUAUAUGUUAGAAAAACCUUCAAUGACAGUUUACCACAUUUGGGAACAAUAUCCAAAUGGUAUCGAUCAGUUGAUGGUACUCCUGGUUUUACCAAAGGGUACAUAUGUUCCAUUAUGAUGCAUUGAUUAUUCAAAUAUCAUUUCAAAAGUAUUGUAAGAAGUUUUUAGUUUGUUCAUUUUUUAUUGGCUAUCUAUUCUUGAUUCUGGUUAUAGGUUAGUGUAAUGUUAUGAUUUUGUAUUCAUUGAAUGAAAACUUGUUAUACUGAAACAUUAAUCGAGAAAAGUCAAUAGAACAAAACAAUAUCAGAAUUAUAUGUAGGUAUAUUAAAAUUUAACUCUGUUUUAGUUCAAAAUAACAACUAGCUGUGAAUUGUUUUUUUUUGUCAGGUGUUAAGGAAUGAAAUCUUGUCAAAAACUGUAGGCCCCGAUACCAUAAUAUGUAAUUGAUUGUUUCUUGAAAAAAUAAAUCAUUUGUUUGGGAGCUGUAGGUAUCUAGUCAAGCAUCAGCAUACAAUUAAAUAUCUCAGAUAUACUAAACUCAAUUAAAUAUGCCAUAUCUGUAUCUACCCUUUGUAUUAUUUGUAUUUUACAAUAAAUUGCUUGAUGACAUCAAAAGAUUAAAUGAACAAAGUUUCGAUAAAAAAGUAAAGGAAUUAUUGCUGCAGAACACAUACAUAUACAGCCUAAAAGAGUUUUAAAAUGUUUGUGUAUGUAAUUUGUUUUUUAAACCUGAUUGAAUUUUUAUGACAAACCGUGAAAAUUAUUGACAGUGAAUAUUUAUAGUGUACAAUGUGAUGUAGUACAUAUGUAAAUAAAUAUUAUUAUUAUGAAGUUUUGUAACUUCAAGGCUAUGAAUUGUUUUUUUUUUGUUAUGUGUCAAGAAAUUAAAUCUUGUCAAAAACUGUAGGCCCUAAUUCCAUAAUAUGUAAUUGUUCCUCGAAAAAAUAAAUUAUUUGUUUAGA